rnacentral:rRNA from 1 species
UAAAGCCUUUCGCUUACACCGAAGAACUAUCUGUUAAACCCAGAUUAUUUUGAGCUAAAAAUUUAACCCCACCUUCUUUUAUGCCCACCACAAGACUUAAAUUAUAUAACUAAAACAUUCUUACAGUUUAGUAGAGGCGAUCAAAAAACUAACAGGAGUAAUAAAUAAUGUACCGCAAGGGAAAAAUGAAAUAAAAAUGAAAUACUAUCAAGCAAAAAAAAGUAAAGAUUAAUCCUUGUACCUUUUGCAUCAUGAUUUAACUAGCCUACCCCGGCAAAACGACUUUUAAGUCAGACCUCCCGAAACUAAGUGAGCUACUUCAAGGCAGCUUAAUGAGCUUAUCCGUCUCUGUUGCAAAAGAGUGGAGAGACCUUCAAGUAGAGGUGACAGACCAAACGAACUAAGUGAUAGCUGGUUACUCGAGAAAAGGAUCUUAGUCCCGCCCAAAGAAAACACUAUUAAUUAAAAAUAAAAAUUUUCGACUUUAAAGCAAUUCAAUUAAGGUACAGCCUACUUGAUACAGGAAACAACCUAAACUAACGGAUAAUCAUUAUACACCCUCCCCUUUUAAGUGGGCCUAAAAGCAGCCACCUUUAAAAUAGCGUCAAAGCUUCAUUAUACAUGUAUCUAAUACCAAAUUUAUUAUUUAACCCUUUAUUAAUAUCGAGUAAAUCUAUAAAACUAUAGAAAUUUUUAUGUUAAAACUAGUAACAAGAGUUAGAUUUUCUCUUUAUGUAAGUGUAUAUCAGAAAGGACACACCACUGACUAUUAACAUCUAUGACCUUAGAGCAGCAACUUGACAAGAAAACCCUCCUCCCCUAAAUGUUAAUCUAACACAAGCACAUACCAAGAAAGAUUAAAAGAAAAAGAAGGAACUCGGCAAACAUUAACCCCGCCUGUUUACCAAAAACAUCGCCUCUUGCAAAACUUAAGAGGUCUAGCCUGCCCAGUGACUCUGUUCAACGGCCGCGGUAUCCUAACCGUGCGAAGGUAGCGUAAUCACUUGUUCUUUAAAUAAGGACUAGUAUGAAUGGCAUCACGAGGGUUACACUGUCUCCUUUUUCUAAUCAGUGAAACUAAUCUUCCCGUGAAGAAGCGGGGAUCAUUAUAUAAGACGAGAAGACCCUAUGGAGCUUUAAACAAACAACAUUUGCUAACUCACCCGCGAUACUCAGGUCGCUAAUCUUAAUCCUAGCACUAUGAUUUCAAGUUUUUGGUUGGGGUGACCGCGGAGUAAAAAUUAACCUCCACAAUGAAAGAACUCUCUAAGUAAAAAGCUACUACUUUAAGCAUCAAUAAAUUGACAUUCAUUGACCCAAUAUUUUGAUCAACGAACCAAGUUACCCUAGGGAUAACAGCGCAAUCCACUUUAAGAGCUCUUAUCGACAAGUGGGCUUACGACCUCGAUGUUGGAUCAGGGUACCCCAGUGGUGUAGCCGCUACUAAAGGUUCGUUUGUUCAAC